UGGCAGAACAAAGACAGGAAGGCUGGCAAGACCCGCUUUGACGUCAGAAGCAACUUCCUGCAUCUUUUAUGUACUUGUCAAGUGGCGAGCUCUCCAUCUUACCAAACACACAGAAGAAGCUAAACACCUAGAAAACUCAACAUGGAAAUCAAUGCAGUAACCUGCCAAUUAAUAAGAAGUCAUAACUUUUGAACAAAUCCAAGCAAUCUUAAGCCUGCAGAUGUUGACAUCGGAUAUAAUGACACGCUGUUUGAGGUUUGUUGACCACAAACAUCCUCGGGACAUGAACCCAGUAGAUUUUGUAAUGUCUGUGGGAGGGCAUCUGACUUCUAUAAACUCCUUCAGGUCUGCCUUAAGAAAAUUCAACAGACCUACUGUUAUCGAACUGGAGGUGGCACUGUGAUUUACUCAGAUCGUCUCCUCAGACUGUACUCUGUGCAAAGAGGGGCAAUUGAGAGAAUUUCAGAAAGAAUAUUCUCUCCCUCUUCAUUGAUACAAGUCACUCACCUAGACUGGAGCCCCCACUUUGUCCCUUUUGAAGGCAUCAUAUGUCUCAAUCGUGUGAGCCUUAGAAAUCCACAGCAGCUUCAACUUUGGCAGCUUCCAGAACCUCUGCUUGUUCUUUACUGGGCAGAUGGGAAAGGGAGUGGGAGAAACCAGGGAGAGUGACAAUAUACUACCGGAGAAUUGGCAAACCGGGCUUAGUUACUCUCGGCUCAGUGAGCCUGUAUGACUGUGGUUCAAGCCCCAUCAUAGAUCUUUGGGUCCAUGUAAUCUGGGUCAGCAUAUUAAAGUAGUAAGGAGGGAAUGCUACCUUGUUGUCUGUGUGAUCUUUCAGGUUACUAAAACAAGUCAUUAUGUGUGUCUGUUAUCUUAAGUGCAGAUUAAAGGUCCUAUGGCAGUAGGAUGGGUAGAGAAGUUGUUCCAGUAUCCUACAACAUUGAGCCCUUUA